rnacentral:rRNA from 1 species
UAAGAGCACGGGCGAUGUGUGCAUGUUUUAGAGCUAUAAUCAAAUAAAUUAUAUCCAUUAUUUUACUUUUAAAUCCACCUUAAAAUCAUUAUUUCAAACAAUUAAAUGUAUAAAUAAAUUUAUUGUMACCCAUCUCUACUAAGAUAUAAACUGCACCUUGACCUGACAUCAAUUAUAUUAUUAAAUUAAGAAAAUUAUUACUCUUUUAAGAUAUUCUGAUAACGGCGAUAUACAAAUUGAAAACAAACCUUAGUAAGGUCCAACGUGGAUUAUCGAUUACAGGACAGGUUCCUCUAAAUAGACUAAAACACCGCCAAAUUCUUUAAGUUUGAAGAACAUAACUAUUACUACUCAAGUAUAAUUAUUUACUUUUUAAAUAAUAGGGUAUCUAAUCCCUAGUUUA